rnacentral:rRNA from 1 species
UACGUAGGGGGCAAGCGUUGUCCGGAAUCAUUGGGCGUAAAGAGCGUGUAGGCGGUUCGGUAAGUCGGCUGUGAAAGUCCAGGGCUCAACCCUGGGAUGCCGGUCGAUACUGCCGGACUAGAGUUCGGAAGAGGCGAGUGGAAUUCCCGGUGUAGCGGUGAAAUGCGCAGAUAUCGGGAAGAACACCCGUGGCGAAGGCGGCUCUCUGGGACGGUACCGACGCUGAGACGCGAAAGCGUGGGGAGCGAACAGG